rnacentral:rRNA from 1 species
AACGAACGCUGGCGGCAUGCCUAACACAUGCAAGUCGAACGAGACCUUCGGGUCUAGUGGCGCACGGGUGCGUAACGCGUGGGAACCUGCCUUUAGGUUCGGAAUAACUCAGAGAAAUUUGAGCUAAUACCGGAUAAUGUCUUCGGACCAAAGAUUUAUCGCCUUUAGAUGGGCCCGCGUAAGAUUAGCUAGUUGGUGGGGUAAAAGGCCUACCAAGGCGACGAUCUUUAGCUGGUCUGAGAGGAUGAUCAGCCACGCUGGGACUGAGACACGGCCCAGACUCCUACGGGAGGCAGCAG